rnacentral:rRNA from 1 species
UACGAAGGGGGCUAGCGUUGCUCGGAAUUACUGGGCGUAAAGGGAGCGUAGGCGGAUAGUUCAGUCAGAGGUGAAAGCCCAGGGCUCAACCUUGGAAUUGCCUUUGAUACUGGCUGUCUUGGAGUAUGGGAGAGGUUAGCGGAACUCCGAGUGUAGAGGUGAAAUUCGUAGAUAUCGGAAGAACACCAGUGGCGAAGGCGGCUAACUGGCCCAUUACUGACGCUGAGGCUCGGAAAGCGUGGGGAGCAAACAGG